rnacentral:rRNA from 1 species
CCUACGGGAGGCAGCAGUGAGGAAUAUUGGUCAAUGGCCGGAAGGCUGAACCAGCCAAGCCGCGUGAGGGAGGAAGGCGCAGAGCGUCGCAGACCUCUUUUGCCGGGGGACAAAAGGCCGGACUCGUCCGGUCCUGAGGGUACCCGGAGAAAAAGCAUCGGCGAACUCCGGGCCAGCAGCCGCGGUAAUACGGAGGAUGCGAGGGUUAUCCGGUUUAAUUGGGUUUAAGGGGUGCGCAGGCGGGCCUUUAAGCCGGCGGUGAAAUCGCGGGGGUCAACCCCGCCGAGCAGUCGGAAAUGGGGGCCUUGAGUGCGGCGGAGGAAUGCGGAAUGCGCGGUGUAGCGGUGAAAUGCAUAGAGAUCGCGCAGAACCCCGAUCGCGAAGGCAACGUGCCGUGCCGCCACUGACGCUGAGGCACGAAAGCGCGGGGAUCGAACAGGAUUAGAUACCCUAGUAGUC